rnacentral:misc_RNA from 1 species
GAUGAAGAACGUAGCAAAAUGCGAUAAGUAAUGUGAAUUGCAGAAUUCAGUGAAUCAUCGAAUCUUUGAACGCACAUUGCGCCCGCCAGUAUUCUGGCGGGCAUGCCUGUUCGAGCGUCAUUUCAACCCUCAAGCACAGCUUGGUGUUGGGACUCGCGUUAAUUCGCGUUCCCCAAGUUGAUUGGCGGUCACGUCGAGCUUCCAUAGCGUAGUAGUAAAACCCUCGUUACUGGUAAUCGUCGCGGCCACGCCGUUAAACCCCAACUUCUGAAUGUUGACCUCGGAUCAGGUAGGAAUACCCGCUGAACUUAAGCAUAUCAAUAAGCGGAGGA